GUCGACGAUUACUCCUACGGGAGGCAGCAGUGGGGAAUAUUGCACAAUGGACGAAAGUCUGAUGCAGCAACGCCGCGUGGAGGAUGACACAUUUCGGUGCGUAAACUCCUUUUAUAUGGGAAGAUAAUGACGGUACCAUAUGAAUAAGCACCGGCUAACUCCGUGCCAGCAGCCGCGGUAAUAAUCUCUAGA
rnacentral:rRNA from 1 species